GUUUUUAUAGUUUAAUUUUAAAACAUUACACUGAAAAUGUAAAAAUAUCAGUUAAAAACAUUUUAAUUACA
rnacentral:tRNA from 1 species